GCCGGGUUGGUGUAGUGGUUAACACAUUAGAUUAGAAAUCAAGAGACUGUGAGUUCUAGUCCUUCCUUAGGCA
rnacentral:tRNA from 1 species